UACGUAGGGAGCAAGCGUUGUCCGGAAUCAUUGGGCGUAAAGCGCGCGUAGGUGGCCUCAUAAGUCCGCUGUGAAAGUCAAAGGCUCAACCUUUGAAAGCCGGUGGAUACUGUGAGGCUAGAGUACGGAAGAGGCGAGUGGAAUUCCUGGUGUAGCGGUGAAAUGCGCAGAUAUCAGGAGGAACACCAAUUGCGAAGGCAGCUCGCUGGGACGUAACUGACGCUGAGACGACGAAGCGUGGGGAGCAAACAGG
rnacentral:rRNA from 1 species